rnacentral:lncRNA from 12 species
AGAGAUAGAAUGCCUGCAUACAAACACAUGCACAUGUAUGCCCAAGGUCUGGGAAGGGCAAGGAAGAUGGAUGGAAAGAAUCUUAAGCAGGCUGAUGCCUAGCAUGGAGCCGGAAAUGGGGCUCUGUCUUAUGACCCUGAGAUCAUGACCUGAGCUGAAAUCAAGUCAGAUGCUUAACUGGACGCUUAAUUGACUGAGCCACCCAGGUGCCCCAACACUCAUUUGGAGAUUAUCUUUUAUUGACUACUAAGAGUCAUCACACAAGAUCUGUCUCCAACACACUAAAAAUAGAAAGGAAUAGAAUAUCAGAUUUGGGAGGCCGAGCUUUUAGUUUAAUUUCCUUGGAUUUAGCUCAUUCAUUUAAGAGCACGCAAUGGAUUACUGGGACGACACACUAUUAAAUAUCUGGGCUGGAACAAGCCUUACAUCUGAAGAAAUGUCUCCUCACAACUAUAGGGUUGGACAUUGGUUGCAUUGUGCGGUUACCUUUGGUGAGGUGAAUGUUUGGGAUGUAUCUCUAAUGGAUUGUUUUUCUUGUCAGUGGCCUAAAUGUGAAGUUGUCUCUAUGAGGUUAUUAAGGGGCACUGCCAAGUUUCUCCCUGUGGCCAGAUCUUGACUUCCUCUUAAAGCUGGCAGCAAGGGGGUAGGAGUUAAAAGGAUGAGCUUUUACAUCAGUGAAAAAGAGUUUCAGCCCUGCUAUUUACUAACUGUGAUUUGAGCAAGUUGCUUCAAGUCUUUGUGCCUUAGUUUCUUCAUCUUUAAACUAAGAAUACCUCCGUAGAGAUGUCACAAUGAUUAGAGUGAGGUAACCAAGUGUAAAAUGCUUCACAUAGUGCCUGGUGCCCCAUGAAUUCUAAAUAAAUCAUAGCUUUUCUCAUGAUUGCUGGUAUUC